ACUCGAUAGCGUAAAAGUUAACUCAAAUUUGUAUGGAGCUGAAACGUUUGCCUACGUUUGCCGCUAGGGGCGCUGUACUCUAUACAAAUUUGAGUUAACUUUUACGCUAUCGA
rnacentral:pre_miRNA from 9 species